rnacentral:rRNA from 1 species
UAUUGGGCAAUGGACGCAAGUCUGACCCAGCCAUGCCGCGUGCAGGAAGACGGCCCUCUGGGUUGUAAACUGCUUUUAUCAGGGAAGAAACCCUUCUACGUGUAGGAGGCUGACGGUACCUGAGGAAUAAGGAUCGGCUAACUCCGUGCCAGCAGCCGCGGUAAUACGGAGGAUCCAAGCGUUGUCCGGAUUUAUUGGGUUUAAAGGGUGCGUAGGCGGACUUAUAAGUCAGAGGUGAAAGCCGGUAGCUUAACUAUCGAAUUGCCUUUGAAACUGUAGGUCUUGAAUUUUGUUGAGGUAGGCGGGAUGUAUCAUGUAGCGGUGAAAUGCAUAGAUAUGAUACAGAACACCGAUUGCGAAGGCAGCUUACUAAGCAAACAUUGACGCUGAGGCACGAAAGCGUGGGGAUCAAACAGG